GUUUUCCUGGCACUAUAGUGGUCCUUUAACCUUUCCUUGUAAGUUUUAUCCUGCAAUCUAUGAACCAGUUUAGUAGCCCUUCUCUGAACUCUUUCUAAAGUAUCAAUAUCCUUCUGAAGAUACGGUCUCCAGUACUGCGUACAAUACUCCAAGUGAGGUCUCACCAGUGUCCUGUACAAUGGCAUGAGCACUUCUCUCUUUCUACUGCUAAUACCUUUCCCUAUACAACCAAGCAUUCUGCUAGCAUUUCCUGCUGCUCUAUUAUAUUGUCUGCCUACCUUUAAGUCAUCUGAAAUAAU